rnacentral:tRNA from 1 species
UGGCUCAGUGGUAGAGCUCUUACUUUGCAUGUACAAAGUCCUGGGUUCAAUCCCCAG